UACGGGGGGGGCAAGCGUUGUUCGGAAUUACUGGGCGUAAAGGGCUCGUAGGUGGCCAACUAAGUCGGACGUGAAAUCCCUCAGCUUAACUGGGGAACUGCGUCCGAUACUGGAUGGCUUGAGUUUGGGAGAGGGAUGCGGAAUUCCAGGCGUAGCGGUGAAAUGCGUAGAUAUCUGGAGGAACACCGGUGGCGAAGGCGGCAUCCUGGACCAACACUGACACUGAGGAGCGAAAGCCAGGGGAGCAAACGGG
rnacentral:rRNA from 1 species